UUCGGUUGAAAUUGCAAUUUUUUAUAAAACAACAAAUGCCAUAGGAAUUGAUGGAUAAUAUAAGAGAACUAAAUCUUACCUCGGAAAGCAUAUUGAACAACAAAUGCCAUAGAAAAUGAUUUUGGAUACCUGCAUUGUUAUAGGAAAUGACCUUUUUGUUGGGUUUAUGCGGCCCUUAAAGGCCUUAUGAGUAUGUAAUGAAAAACAUUUACUAUAGUGAAACAAAAACUCAAUGGGAGUGUGGUCCCUCGAAGACUAUAUACUAAGCAAAUGAUAUUUGCGGAUAACAUAUUGUGCUUGACGAUCUAGGCCAGUCGGUUGGAAAACCCAAGGUACCUGGGCAUAAAAAAUAAAUCAAGAAGAGUUUUUGGGGUAGCCCUUGAUGAGGUCGGAGCUUAUGCCUAAAUGAGUGAGCCGACGGACUGUGUGACCCUUGUGUGUGAUGAUAGGCCUACAGUGAAGGGGGCCAAAACCUCAUCCAUGUUCCAUCACACGACAUGCAUAUAGAUAGAUCGUUCGGGAAAGUUUGAUAUCCACCUUUGGGUGAAGCAUAUGCAUGUGCGAGAGAUACCCCUAUGCGCUAUACAAUUGUGGUCGCAUCAGGUCGUGGUGACCUUGACUUGUCUCUAGAGAAGACCUGUAAUCCACAAACUGAGAUUGCGACUCCUUGGCUCAUCGACCAGACUUUGGUGACCUGCUAAUGAGCCCUUGCUUGGACUGUGGGUUAUGAGAAACAUUGGGUAGGUUCGAUAAAAGUAAGUGUGGUCUGCAGUCCACAGUUGAAGGUGGAGUACCCCAUGAUCGUUGAUUGAAUUCCUGAACCAUAUGGAUCCACUUCUCAUCAUAUUAAUUUAAUUGUGUUGAAUUAUUUCAGAUUUAUUAUUUGAAUUUUUGUAAGUCAUUUGAUAUUUUAUUUCUUAUUUUUGGACUUAUAAAAAUGAAGUUAUUAAUUUACAAAGUUAUAAUGUUUUAAAAUUCAUUUUUUAAAAAUAUUUAUUAAAAAAAAAAUACAUGGGGGCCCAUAAUGCACAUGGGCCCACCAUGUAGGUAUUAGGUGGGGCCCCACAUACCAUACAUGGGUGGCUUGCCCCACCCUUGGAUACCUUAUCUUGUUUUGUCUUCUAGUUUCUUAAAAAUGGUAGCAUGUGGUCAAAUAUUGAUUAGGAAAUAUUGACCAUAUCUUAUCUUGAUUAUUGAAGGAAUAUCUUGACUUGAUAUUAUUGACUAUGGUAUGCACUAUAUCUUUAAUUGAUUUAAUUUAUUUUUAUAUAUAUAUUGAUGGGAAAAUUGUUUAACGAAAGGGGGGUAAUGGUUCAUGCAAGUUGAUGGCCCAUCUAUGGGAUGGCUCAGAUCUCUCACCCCACAAGUCACCUUGAUCAACGGUCCAUAUUCAAUCUCAAGAAAUAGGCAAAUUAUGGGAAACCUUAAAGAAACCCUAGAUCUAUAAAUUUCACUAUAAAUAGGGAUGCUCUCCACCCAUCUCAACACAUCUCACUCUCCCAUAAACUCUCUCUCUCUCUUUCCUAGAGGCCAUGCCCUUCUCUCUCUACUCUUCUUUUUUUUUUUCUCUCUCUCUCAUGAUCUAAUCUAAGGGUUGGGAAAAUUAAGGUUUACUCACCAUACUUCAGCAGUUUGUAGGCUAACCUAACCAACCUUCCUUAUGAGUUCAAUCCCAUCCCCGGGUUUUUACGAGCCCCCUUCUUCUCUCAACGGCUUGGACCCAACUGGCACUUAGAGUGUCGGAUGCAAGCAACCAGCCUUUUCGCCUACUCAACGAAUAGAAUCUGCAUAGAGAAAAGUGCCUAGAUGAGUGAGCCGAGGGACUGUGUGACCCUUGUGUGUGAUGAUAGGCCUACAGUGAAGGGAGCCAAAACCUCAUCCAUGUUCCAUCACACAGCAUGCAUAUAGAUAGAUUGAUUAGGAAAGCUUGAUAUCCACCUUUAGGUGAAGCAUAUGCAUGUGCGAGAGAUACCCCUAUGCACCAUACAGAUGUGGUCGCAUCAGGCCGUGGUAACCUUGACUUGUCUCUAGGGAGGACCUGUAAUCCACAGACUGGGAUUACGACUCCUUGGCUCAUCGACCAGACUUUGGUGACCCGCUAAUGAGCCCUUGCUUGGACUGUGGGUUAUGAGAAACAUUGGGUAGGUUCGAUAAAAGUAAGUGUGGUCUGCAGUCCACAGUUGAAGGUGGAGUACCCCAUGAUCGUUGAUUGAAUUCCUGAACCAUAUGGAUCCACUUCUCAUCAUAUUAAUUUAAUUGUGUUGAAUUAUUUCAGAUUUAUUAUUUGAAUUUUUGUAAGUCAUUUGAUAUUUUAUUUCUUAUUUUUGGACUUAUAAAAAUGAAGUUAUUAAUUUACAAAGUUAUAAUGUUUUAAAAUUCAUUUUUUUAAAAAUAUUUAUUAUAAAAAAAAAAUACAUGGGGGCCCAUAGUACACAUGGGCCCACCAUGUGGGUAUUAGGUGGGGCCCCACAUACCAUACAUGGGUGGCACGCCCCACCCUUGGAUAUCUUAUCUUGUUUUGUCUUUAAGUUUGUUAAAAAUAGUAACUACAUCUUGUAGCAUAUGGUCAAAUAUCGAUUAAGAAAUAUUGACCAUAUCUUAUCUUGAUUAUUGAAGGAAUAUCUUGACUUGAUAUUAUUGACUAUGGUAUGCACUAUAUCUUUAAUUGAUUUAUAUAUAUAUUGAUGGGAAAAUUGUUUAAGGAAAGGGGGGUAAUGGUUCAUGCAAGUUGAUGGCCCAUUUAUGGGAUAACUCAGAUCUCUCACCCCACAAGUCACCUUGAUCAACGGUCCAUAUUCAAUCUCAAAAAAUAGGCAAACUAUGGGAAACCUUAAAGAAACCCUAGAUCUAUAAAUUUCACUAUAAAUAGGGAUACUCUCCCCCCAUCUCAACUCACCUCUCUCUCCCAUAAACUCUCUCUCUUCCUUAGAGGCCACGCCCCUCUCUCUACUCUUUUUUUUUUUUCUCUCUCUCAUGAUCUAAUCUAAAGGUUGGGAAAAUUAGGGUUUACUCACCAUACUUCAAGAGUUUGUAGGCUGACCUAACCAGCCUUCCUUAUGAGUUCAAUCCCAUCCCCGGGUUUUUACGAGCCCCCUUCUUCUCUCAACGGCAUGGACCCAGCUGGCACUUAGAGUGUCGGAGGCAAGCAACCAGCCUUUUCGCUUACUCAACGAAUAGAAUCUGCAUAGAGAAAAGUGCCUAGAUGAGUGAGCCGACGGACUGUGUGACUCUUGUGUGUGAUGAUAGGCCUACAGUGAAGGGGGCCAAAACCUCAUCCAUGUUCCAUCACACGACAUGCAUAUAGAUAGAUCGUUCGAAAAAAUUUGAUAUUCACCUUUGGGUGAAGCAUAUGCAUGUGCGAGAGAUACCCCUAUGCGUCAUACAACUGUGGUCGCAUCAGGUCGUGGUGACCUUGACUUGUCUCUAGGGAAGACCUGUAAUCCACAGACUGGGAUUGCGACUCCUUGGCUCAUAGACCAGACUUUGGUGACCCGCUAAUGAGCCCUUACUUGGACUGUGGGUCAUGAGAAAUACUAAGUCAGUUCGAUAAAAGUAAGUGUGGUCUAUAGUCCACAGUUGAAGGUGGAGUACCCCGUGAUCGUUGAUUAAAUUCAUGAACCAUAUGGAUCCACUUCUCAUCACAUUAAUUUAAUUGUGUUGCAUUAUUUCAAAUUUAUUAUUUGAAUUUUUGUAAGUCAUUUGAUAUUUUAUUUCUUAUUUUUGGACUUAUAAAAAUGAAGUUAUUAAUUUACAAAGUUAUAAUGUUUUAAAAUUCAUUUUUUAAAAAUAUUUAUUAAAAAAAAAAAUACAUGGAGGCUCAUAAUGCACUUUGGCCCACUACGGUAUGCACUAUAUCUUUAAUUGAUUUAAUUUAUUUAUAUAUAUAUUGAUGGGAAAAUGGUUUAAGGAAAGGGGGGUAAUGGUUCAUGCAAGUUGAUGGCCCAUCUAUGGAAUGGAUGGCUCAGAUCUCUCACCCCACAAGUCACCUUGAUCAACGGUCCAUUUCAAUUUUAAGAAAUAGGCAAACUAUGGAAAACCCUAAAAAAACUCUAGAUCUAUAAAUUUUACUAUAAAUAAGGAUGCUCUCCCCCCAUCUCAACACAUCUCUCUCUCCCAUAA
rnacentral:lncRNA from 1 species